UAAGAAAUUCUAAAACUUUUCCAAACCCUAGACCUAUAUAUAUGCCGGCGUAGCCCUCGACGCGCUGAUUUCAGAAGUACGACCCUUUUUACGAGCCGCCGCUCGUAGCUUCGUAGAUCCAUCGCCGAAGUUUCGGAUCUCGUUUCCGGCGAACUUUUCCGGCGAACGUUCGGCGAGCGUUUCCGGCCAUCUCGUGCAUCUCCAGCAGAAACCGUCACCAUCCCGAGCGUCGCCUCGGCCUCCCAAUGCCCAGACCCAUGCCGCCGUUGAUCCGCGGCCUUGUCGCGCCCAUCCCCUGCGCCUCACGUCUCUCCCAUCGCACCACCUGCGUGCUGGUCGGAGGUGCUGCUCGGCGGUGGCCUGUGCGCACCGACAGCCAAGGGCGCGUCCCCUGCUGGCCGCCACCACCGCGGCCCUGCAGGCCAGGCGCGCCGCAGCCGCUGCUAGCUGGUCGGCCGGCUGAGCCCCUCCCCUCCCGGUGUGAUGCAGCGCACCAUGGCUGCCAUGGAGGUCACGAUCCCCUCGAGCCAAAGAAGCGUGGUUCGUCAGCAGUGAAGACCAGGAGCUAAGGACCGAUAGUCGAAG